AGAGAGAGACAUGCGCGCAUAUCAAUAAGCGGAGGAAAAGAAACUAACAAGGAUUCCCUUAGUAACGGCGAGUGAAGCGGGAAGAGCUCAAAUUUGAAUCUUCAAGGUUUUACCUUGACGAAUUGUAGUUUAAAGAAGUGUUUUCUGCUGAAGUUUUGGUAAAAGUUCUUUGGAAUAGGACAUCAUAGAGGGUGAGAAUCCCGUAUUUGACCAUUAUUUUCAGCUUUGUGAUACACUUUCAAAGAGUCGGAUUGUUUGGGGAUGCAGUCCAAAAUGGGUGGUAAAUUUCAUCUAAGGCUAAAUAUUGGCGAGAGACCGAUAGCGAACAAGUACCGUGAGGGAAAGAUGAAAAGAACUUUGAAAAGAGAGUUAAACAGUACGUGAAAUUGUCAAAAGGGAAGCGUUUGACACCAGUGUUGUUUUCUCGAAAAUCAAUUAAAAAUGGCUCGAUUUUGUAUUGUUGAGACCUUAAAAGCUCACUGUACAUUUUUCGUGUCUUUUUUAAUGCACUUUUCGUUUAACAAGUCAACAUCAGUUUCUUUUGUUGUAAAAGGGUCAUUGGAAGGUGGCUUUCUUUUCGGAGAAAGUGUUUAUAGCCUUUGGCCUCUGCAAUCGGAGAGACUGAGGUCUGCAGCGUAGACUCUUCGGGGUUAGAUACAUUUGUGCUAAGUUAUAGCUUUUUAUAGACAACUUGUUGACUAUAAUUAGUCUUGUAGCUUACUCGCUUAUGCUAUUUUACCUACGCUUAGGAUGUUGAAGUCAUCGUAUCGCG
rnacentral:rRNA from 1 species